CUACGGGAGGCUGCAGUGAGGAAUAUUGCACAAUGGGGGGAACCCUGAUGCAGCAACGCCGCGUGGAGGAUGACGCAUUUCGGUGUGUAAACUCCUUUUAUAUGUCAAGAAAAUGACGGUAGCAUAUGAAUAAGCACCGGCUAACUCCGUGCCAGCAGCCGCGGUAAUAGGGAGGGUGCAAGCGUUACUCGGAAUCACUGGGCGUAAAGGACGCGUAGGCGGGUUGGAAAGUCAGGUGUGAAAUCCUACAGCUUAACUGUAGAACUGCACUUGAAACUGCUAAUCUAGAGUAUGGGAGGGGGAGAUGGAAUUAGUGGUGUAGGGGUAAAAUCCGUAGAUAUCACUAGGAAUACCUAAAGCGAAGGCGAUCUCCUGGAACAUUACUGACGCUAAGGCGUGAAAGCGUGGGGAGCAAACAGGAUUAGAUACCCGGGUAGUC
rnacentral:rRNA from 1 species